GACGAACGCUGGCGGCGUGCUUAACACAUGCAAGUCGAACGGUGAAAGCGGAGCUUGCUCCGCUGGAUCAGUGGCGAACGGGUGAGUAACACGUGGGCAACCUGCCCCUCACUUCGGGAUAACUCCGGGAAACCGGGGCUAAUACCGGAUAUGACCUCCUUCGGCAUCCUUGGAGGUGGAAAGUUUUUCGGUGAGGGAUGGGCCAGCGGCCUAUCAGCUUGUUAGCGAGGUAGUGGCUCACCAAGGCGACGACGGGUAGCCGGCCUGAGAGGGCGACCGGCCACACUGGGACUGAGACACGGCCCAGACUCCUACUGGAGGCAGCAGUGGGGAAUAUUGCGCAAUGGGCGAAAGCCUGACGCAGCAACGCCGCGUGCGGGAUGACGGCCUUCGGGUUGUAAACCGCUUUCAGCAGGGAAGAAGCCGCAAGGUGACGGUACCUGCAGAAGAAGCACCGGCUAACUACGUGCCAUCAGCCGCGGUAA
rnacentral:rRNA from 1 species